rnacentral:rRNA from 1 species
GAGUUUGAUCUUGGCUCAGAUUGAACGCUGGCGGCAGGCCUAACACAUGCAAGUCGAGCGGAUGACGGGAGCUUGCUCCUUGAUUCAGCGGCGGACGGGUGAGUAAUGCCUGGGAAUCUGCCUGGUAGUGGGGGACAACGUUUCGAAAGGAACGCUAAUACCGCAUACGUCCUACGGGAGAAAGCAGGGGACCUUCGGGCCUUGCGCUAUCAGAUGAGCCUAGGUCGGAUUAGCUAGUUGGUGGGGUAAUGGCUCACCAAGGCGACGAUCCGUAACUGGUCUGAGAGGAUGAUCAGUCACACUGGAACUGAGACACGGUCCAGACUCCUACGGGAGGCAGCAGUGGGGAAUAUUGGACAAUGGGCGAAAGCCUGAUCCAGCCAUGCCGCGUGUGUGAAGAAGGUCUUCGGAUUGUAAAGCACUUUAAGUUGGGAGGAAGGGCAGUAAGUUAAUACCUUGCUGUUUUGACGUUACCGACAGAAUAAGCACCGGCUAACUCUGUGCCAGCAGCCCG